UACGUAGGGGGCUAGCGUUGUCCGGAUUUAUUGGGCGUAAAGAGCUCGUAGGUGGUUCGGUAAGUCGGAUGUGAAAUCUCCAGGCUCAACCUGGAGGGGUCAUUCGAUACUGCCGUGACUUGAGUUCGGUAGGGGAUCACGGAAUUCCUGGUGUAGCGGUGAAAUGCGCAGAUAUCAGGAGGAACACCAGUGGCGAAGGCGGUGAUCUGGGCCGAUACUGACGCUGUAGAGCGAAAGCGUGGGGAGCGAACAGG
rnacentral:rRNA from 1 species